rnacentral:rRNA from 1 species
GUUUCGUGUGAACAGUGGUUGAUCACGAGUUAGUCGGUCCUAAGUUUAACACGAAAACGGAAUAUUUUCAAAGUUUAAUAAAUUAAAAAUAAAUAAUAAUUAUUAUAUAAUACACUUUGAUUAAUAUAUUUAAACGAAAGGGAAUGCGGUUCCAAUUCCGUAUCCUGUUGAGUAUCCGUUUGUUAUUAAAAAUGGGCCUUGUGCUCAUCCUGGUAACAGGAAGGACCAUAAAGAACCCGUCGAGAGAUAUUGGAAGAGUUUUUUUUUCUGUUUUAUAAUCGUGCUACCAUGGAAGUCUUUCGAAGAGAGAUAUGGUAGAUGGAUUAGAAGAGCAUGACAUUUCCUGUUGUGUCUAUAUUAUCUCCUCGGACCCAGAAAAUUUAUGGUGGGGUCACGUAAAUCUCUCACCAGGCCGUACCGAUAUCCGCAGCUGGUCUCCAAGGUGAAGAGUCUCUAGUCGAUAGAAUAAUGUAGGUAAGGGAAGUCUUUAAAGAGUUUUUAACAAGAGGUGUCAGAAAAGUUACCACAGGGGUAACUGGCUUGUGGCGGCCAAGCGUUCAUAGCGACGUCGCUUUUUGAUCCUUCGAUGUCGGCUCUCCCUAUCAUUGUGAAGCAAAAUUCACCAAGCGUUGGAUUGUUCACCCAUGCAAGGGAACGUGAGCUGGGUUUAGACCGUCGUGAGACAGGUUAGUUUUACCCUACUAAUGACAAUAUGUUAUUGCGACAGCAUUCCUGCGUAGUACGAGAGGAACCGCAGGUACGGACCAAUGGUACAAUACUUGUUCGAGCGAACAGUGGUAUGAUACUACGUCCGUUGGAUUAUGCCUGAACGCCUCUAAGGUCGUAUCCGCGCUGGACUGCAAUGAUAAAUAUGGGGCAAUUGCAUUGUAUGGCUUCUAAAUUAUUUUUUAAGUUUUAUAAGUAACAUUAUAAAACGACAAACAAAUAAUUGUAUGUGACGCCAAUGUUAUAUGUAAUAUAGCUAAUGUAAGAGGAUUAAAUAUCACUUGCAUGUUACGCUUUUUUAAUUACACAUAUUUAAAACAUUAUUUAAUACAAUGACAAUGCCUAGAAUCAAUUGUAAACGACUUUGGUAACGGGCAAGGUGUUGUAAG